ACACUGGGGGAGCUUUUAGCUGAGAGAGGAUUGAUCCCGACCCUUAUGACCUGAACUAGAUAAUACUAGCGUAGGGAAGUGUAGAUG
rnacentral:ncRNA from 1 species